UACCUCUGGGUCUGGUGUCUGAGUCUAAAUUGUAUGUCUUUUAUACUCUUUUAUUUAAUUUUUAUUGUGUGAGAGAUUCGCUGCUCGGUACAGUAUAUAAUCACUCAGUUAAAGGAUGUGCUUGGUUUUGUUGCUAACUUGUGUGUAAUUUGUCAACACUGGCCUAUCCCUUAAGCUUAGGAGCGUUUUUAUGUCAGAAUGAUCAGAAAUCAGAGUUAAGUGACUUGGCUAAAAUACAAUGUGGGAGAAUGAUUAAUGACUGAAAAUGUUUUUUUUUCCCUGAGUGAAACUUGCUGAGAAAACAGCUAAAAAUAUAGCUGAAAAAAACUUCAGGGAGCCUGAAGAAACACCUAGAUCACCUUUUAAAUGUCAAAAGAAAAUCUGACUACGCUAAAGAUAAUAAAGAAACUUAAUCCUAAUAAAAAUAACUGGUGUCUGAAGCCCUAAAAACACAUUUUCAAUGUUCACUCAGAAAAUAUCAAAUAUCUUCAGGAGUUUUUUUAUUUUUGCUUAACAAUAAAAAACUAAACAAAGAGUUUUUUUAAAAUAACAAAUAAUUUAACAGAACCUAAACAGAGGCUUAAACAGAAUACCCACACACAAAGACUAUCUAAACAGCUCCAAAACAACUUUAAACUCAUCGUUCACGCAGGAAUGACUUCUGUACGAUGAACAUCUCGUCAGCUUUAGAAAUUGUUUUUCAACAUCAUAUCACAUACAGCUGAGCUGGUUUCACCUCAUUUGUAUUCAAGCAGCCAAAAAUACAAUUAAAGGGAGGAAACUACGGAACAUAACAUGGACACAUUAAUGUGAAGAAAAAUGAUUAAUGAUCGUUUACUGAAUUUCUUUUGAUUCUUUCAAUGAAGUGAAAUGUAGGUGCUUUACGCUGACGUCGUUAGGUCCGUUUUAGGGGGGCUUCAGCCCCCCUAAAAUAAUCACAAGCCCCCCUAACAUUUUGGUUUAUUUUAUUUUUUUCAGUUAACUUUUUUUUAUUUGUUCACAUCUACAUGCUGAACACAAUCACGACACGUGUAGUUGGUACAUGAGUUUUUUAGUCUGAAACAGAAAUAAUAAUUAAUGAAUAUAGAACUACACCGUCACACACAGGAAGUAUCAAGAAAGAACUUCCUCCACUUCCUUAAGCCCGCAGCUUUGUUGACAAGUCAGGGGGCGGGUCGAUACAGAAAAACCUAUAUAUCGAUGAGCAAACCCUGCUCAGCGCUCAUAUGGAUAUACGAAGAUUUUUUAAGAGAGUGAGUGAGGAACAGGAGAGAGACCAGGUGGUUGAUGCUGAGGAGAUCUGCAUGGUCAAGAUCCAGAUCCUCACCUGGAGCUAAGCCGGUUCUGUCUCAUUCUCUGCUCCUGCAUCUGACGGGUGUUCUCCAAUUUGACCGGGCUGGGGAUGAAGCCCACCUCACAUCCCUCCUUCACCAGACGCCCGAUCCACCAGUCGUUGUUGUACUUCUGCACUCAGCAAACGGCCAAAACACCAACAUGUGUUUUACCAUUUCCAUUGUUACACAUCAGUCUCAGUCUUCACUUAAACCAGGACACAAUAGUACUGAUCAGCACUCACAUCUGGCUGCUUUGUGUGGAGGUGCUACGUAACCAUAGCAACAACAUAAAUGCUAACUUGUUGGAAGUGCAAACGUACAUCUAUGGUUUUCCAGAUGUGAACCAAGCGAUGUUGGCUGACACGUCUAUCCCUCCAGGAACGGGUUUUUACAAAGAUUUUAUGUUUCAUAAUAUCAAGAAACUCUUUUUUUCAAUAACUGGAUUGAAAUCAAUGUUUAGGUAGAAAUCAAGAAAUGAUGUGACUACAGAUCACUUUCAUAGCCAAUUAAAAUCUAUACAAUUAUAUGAUGUUUGACCAAAACCAAAUAAGUAACAUUUAAUUUAUAGAGGUAAACGAAUGUAUUUAUCCUCAUAAAUUUCAAUAAUGGCGUAUAAAUGAUGGUAUUGGUAUGCUAUUCUAAAACAUUGUUUACGUUUCAAUUGGUUUGGGGGGUUGGGGUGAUGCUUCUGCCUGUACCCAUUUUUGAACUGUUUAAGUUGUGUGUUUACUUGUAAACCUUCAAAUUUUUUUUAUUAUAUAUAUUAAAGAUAAAGAUGUAUCAGUAUCAACAAAA